rnacentral:rRNA from 1 species
UACCAGCACCCCGAGUGGUCGGGACGAUUAUUGGGCCUAAAGCAUCCGUAGCCGGUCAUGCAAGUCCUCCGUUAAAUCCAGCCGCUCAACGGUUGGGCUGCGGAGGAUACUACGUGGCUAGGAGGCGGGAGAGGCAAGCGGUACUCAGUGGGUAGGGGUAAAAUCCUUUGAUCCAUUGAAGACCACCAGUGGCGAAGGCGGCUGCCAGAACGCGCUCGACGGUGAGGGAUGAAAGCUGGGGAGCAAAGCCGG